rnacentral:rRNA from 1 species
CUGGCUCAGAUUGAACGCUGGCGGCAGGCCUAACACAUGCAAGUCGAGCGGUAGAGAGAAGCUUGCUUCUCUUGAGAGCGGCGGACGGGUGAGUAAUGCCUAGGAAUCUGCCUGGUAGUGGGGGAUAACGUUCGGAAACGGACGCUAAUACCGCAUACGUCCUACGGGAGAAAGCAGGGGACCUUCGGGCCUUGCGCUAUCAGAUGAGCCUAGGUCGGAUUAGCUAGUUGGUGAGGUAAUGGCUCACCAAGGCGACGAUCCGUAACUGGUCUGAGAGGAUGAUCAGUCACACUGGAACUGAGACACGGUCCAGACUCCUACGGGAGGCAGCAGUGGGGAAUAUUGGACAAUGGGCGAAAGCCUGAUCCAGCCAUGCCGCGUGUGUGAAGAAGGUCUUCGGAUUGUAAAGCACUUUAAGUUGGGAGGAAGRGCAGUUACCUAAUACGUGAUUGUUUUGACGUUACCGACAGAAUAAGCACCGGCUAACUCUGUGCCAGCAGCCGCGGUAAUACAGAGGGUGCAAGCGUUAAUCGGAAUUACUGGGCGUAAAGCGCGCGUAGGUGGUUAGUUAAGUUGGAUGUGAAAUCCCCGGGCUCAACCUGGGAACUGCAUUCAAAACUGACUGACUAGAGUAUGGUAGAGGGUGGUGGAAUUUCCUGUGUAGCGGUGAAAUGCGUAGAUAUAGGAAGGAACACCAGUGGCGAAGGCGACCACCUGGACUGAUACUGACACUGAGGUGCGAAAGCGUGGGGAGCAAACAGGAUUAGAUACCCUGGUAGUCCACGCCGUAAACGAUGUCAACUAGCCGUUGGGAGCCUUGAGCUCUUAGUGGCGCAGCUAACGCAUUAAG